rnacentral:rRNA from 1 species
AUUGAACGCUGGCGGCAUGCCUUACACAUGCAAAUCGAACGGUAACGGGCCUUCGGGUGCCGACGAGUGGCGCACGGGUGAGUAAUACAUCGGAACGUGCCCGAUCGUGGGGGAUAACGAGGCGAAAGCUUUGCUAAUACCGCAUACGAUCUACGGAUGAAAGCAGGGGACCGCAAGACCUUGCGCGGACGGAGCGGCCGAUGGCAGAUUAGGUAGUUGGUGGGAUAAAAGCUUACCAAGCCGACGAUCUGUAGCUGGUCUGAGAGGAUGAUCAGCCACACUGGGACUGAGACACGGCCCAGACUCCUACGGGAGGCAGCAGUGGGGAAUUUUGGACAAUGGGCGCAAGCCUGAUCCAGCCAUGCCGCGUGCAGGAUGAAGGCCUUCGGGUUGUAAACUGAUUUUGUACGGAACGAAAAGCCUUCUUUUAAUACAGGAGGGUCAUGACGGUACCGUAAGAAUAAGCACCGGCUAACUACGUG